UGCCAGACUCCUACGGGAGGCAGCAGUGGGGAAUAUUGGGCAAUGGGCGCAAGCCUGACCCAGCAACGCCGCGUGAAGGAAGAAGGCUUUCGGGUUGUAAACUUCUUUUAAGAGGGAAGAGCAGAAGACGGUACCUCUUGAAUAAGCCACGGCUAACUACGUGCCAGCAGCCGCGGUAAUACGUAGGUGGCAAGCGUUGUCCGGAUUUACUGGGUGUAAAGGGAGCGUAGACGGAUGGAUAAGUCUGAAGUGAAAGCCCGCGGCUCAACUGCGGGACUGCUUUGGAAACUGUGCAUCUUGAGUACGGGAGGGGCAGGCGGAAUUCCUGGUGUAGCGGUGAAAUGCGUAGAUAUCAGGAGGAACACCGGCGGCGAAGGCGGCCUGCUGGACCGAAACUGACGUUGAGGCUCGAAAGCGUGGGGAGCAAACAGGAUUAGAUACCCCAGUA
rnacentral:rRNA from 1 species